UCUAUGUCUCCACAGUGCAAGCCUAUGACUAUCCUGUGACUGCCUUUCAAUGGCAUCCAGAGGUAUGAACUUCAGUGUGCUUCACAAUGUUCCUUGUUGUGCCUCAUUUGCAAUUUUUUUUUUAUUUGUUUUGGGUUUUUCGUAUCUUAAAAGAUAGUGCUUCAAAUGAGAUAAACCACUCUCAAGUAGCUGGAACUCAGCUUGCGGGCUUGGCUUAGCUUUUUUUUUUUUUUUUGGAAUCAAUUCUGAGCUUUUGCUAGUUGGGUUGCAUCUCACCUUUAUAUCAUCCCACUUUGCUUCUCAUCAUAAGCUUAAUAAUAGAAAGCUGCUCUUUUUCUACCAGAGGUGGGAUAACCUGAGGGGUUCAGUUAUCAAUUAGCUACUGUAAUAUUGCUGCAGAUGUUGGUUCACCUUGUCUUGAUUUGGCUUUUAUUCUAAUAAUCUCAUAAAAUAAUAUUUCAUAUUCAAUCUUAAAAAUGAGAGGUGUGAAUGAGGGUGCCAAUCCCAUGCCAUGCCCCAAAGUUAAAUAUAACCUCUUGUGGUGAAGCUUUUGAGCAACAUUUGCACUGAGCUCAAAAUGUUCAUGAUCUGGGCUAAAAGCUGACUAGAUACGUCAUUCUUUCUUUGUACAUGAACAAAUGCAUACUAACAUAACCAGUCUAGCAACGAAUAUCGUUUAACAUGGGCAAUGCUAGGUAUCCCAACAUAUAAGUCCCAAUUUGAGUCCCAACUGAUGUGGCAUUCAUCCAUUAGAUGUUGGUUAAGUGAUUUUACUAGUUAUCAAAUCCAUCAUCCAAUAGAUAAGUGACACGUGGCAUUAGAACUCAAGUUGGGACUCAAAUAUUGGGAUCCCAAAAAUUAUUGCUUUGAAUAUAAGUUUCAAAUUUGUAAAAUUAUACAAACAUUAAACCAGACAAUGAAGAAUACAUGAAGCUUGGUCUAUAUUGUUCAAAACUAAACAAUUCUGCAUGCCAACCAUCCAAUAUCCCCAUGAUAAAUCUAAUCUUAUUGACCUGUGCUGAUCACCCUUCGUUAGACUCUAAAAAAUCUCCAUAAAGUUAUGCCCUUCAAUUGUUAUAUCAGACAUAUGUCAUAUCAAAUAAAUGCUCAGUAUUGCUCGUUUGAGUGGUUUCCAUGGUCUCUCUUAUCAGAAAACCAAAAAUUGAGGUGAUAUAUAUUUCUUUGUUUGGUUCAGAACUUGUGUGACGCUGCACAGUAGAACUGUUCUUGAAUAUAUAGGAGCAAAUCAGUUGAAAUGGGAUAUGGAGAAAUGUGAUUGAAGAGGCUGAUCUACAUGUAGCGUGACGUUACCUGCCUGAGAGCAUACUUCUGGGCUCUCAAACUUCUACAGAGAGAGUGUGAAGUUAUCAAAAACUAGUAAUUGGGAUAAAAAUGGAUUAAUAAUCAUGCUAUGUAACAAUUAAGUGAAGAGAUUGUUGUAAAAUAAAGUUCAUGCUCCCUGAUAUAGUGGGAAAAUGUGGUAAGCGGAGGUUUGUAGGAAUAGGCACUGUAAGCCUGCUUGGGCACUUGGCGUUGUGGCUUUAAGGUAAAUGAAGACCAUAUAAUUGAAGGGCAUAACUUUAUGGAGAUUUUUUAGAGUCUAACGAAGGGUGAUCAGCACAGGUCAAUAAGAUUAGAUUUAUCAUGGGGAUAUUGGAUGGUUGGCAUGCAGAAUUGUUUAGUUUUGAACAAUAUAGACCAAGCUUCAUGUAUUCUUCGUUGUCUGGUUUAAUGUUUGUAUAAUUUUAUAAAUUUGAAACUUAUAUUCAAAGCAAUAAUUUUUGGGAUCCCAAUAUUUGAGUCCCAACUUGAGUUCUAAUGCCAUGUGUCACUUAUCUAUUGGAUGAUGGAUUUGAUAACUAGUAAAAUCACUUAACCAACAUCUAAUGAAUGAAUGCCACAUCAGUUGGGACUCAAAUUGGGACUUAUAUGUUGGGAUACCUAGCAUUGCCCAUGUUAAAAGAUAUUCGUUGCUAGACUGGUUAUGUUAGUAUGCAUUUGCUCAUGUAAAUUCAUGUUUGAGUUGAUCUGUUUCUCCGGAUUCAGUGCUCUAUUCUUGAGUAUUUUAUUAAUAAAUUUCUUUGUAAUGUAACUGUUUCCAUUUUAGAUGAAAUGACUGACCUAUCAUUCUACAGAAAAAUGCUUUUGAAUGGGGAUCAUCAGCAAUUCCACACUCAGAGGAUGCCAUUGAGGUGACUCAACAUGUCGCAAACUAUUUUAUCAGGUUGUUUCUUGUAAACCAUAAAAAUCAUAGAUGGUUUAUUUUGUAAGUUUGAUUGGUACACAUGAAGUAGAACUAUAAUAUCAUUUCUCAGUACAUGACUAUUUAAUUUUUUCGACUAGGAUAUAGUUCCUUUUUGGUUGGAAAAUAUGUAGAAAAAACAAAAUGAUUAACUCAUGAUGCAUGAUGGAUCUGUUACUACUAAAUCAAGGUAGAGUUUGAAUUUAUCUCCUUAAUAGAGACAUCUCUUUCAUUAUUAACUACUGCCUUUUAUUUGCAAUAAAUAGUAUUCUAUACCUUUCUGCAUUUCUUCACCGUUCUUUUUGGCAUAUACAAGCAUAUGGACUAAUUGAGUAAGUAAACAAAUUAUUGAAAAUACAAAUUAGUGGCUGUUCUUGACAUUUGGAAGACCAAAACUUAAUUAGUAAUACCAUGAUGGUAUGCACCAACAGAACUUAGGCUGACAUCAAACUCUAUUAUAUUUGGUGCAGUGAGGCUCGGAGGUCGGUGAACAGGCCUCCUGCUCAGAAAGUGCUUGACAAUCUCAUUUACAAUUACAGGCCCACAUUUUGUGGGAAGGCUGGGUAAGGCAACUAUGUUCUUUAUUGUUUCCCCUCUUUUGAGACUGCUUCACCCUAUAGGUAUUUAGUUCUCAUUAUAAAUUCAUUGUCUUGAGUGCAGGAAGGGGUUUGAUGAGGUUUACAUCUUUACCCAACAUCAACCCUGAAUUCUGUCGAGGCACAUUUGUAAAAAUCAUUGAAGUGUGAAAAAUAUUGCUGGAAACGUAAACAUCUGUCAUUGUAAAUAACUUUUAUAUAUAUAUAUAUAUAUAAUUUUAUAAAUAGAUGCUAACACUGUCGUACAUACUGCCAUAAUCAUGAGGAUGAUCUGGAUGAGGAGACCUUGCUAUAACCAGAGUUGAAUCUGAGGUAUUUUUGAAGGCUCCUAGACGGCAAUUGGUUGGCUCCCCUGAUAAAUAUCCCCAUUUUAGCUGUGGUUAUAUGAUUACGAUGAUAUAUUUGUUACUCUAUGUCCUUACGAGCCGUAAAAAUUGCAAGAAAUAUCAGUUGCCAUGGAACCUGUCCGUGAAGCUUGUUUUUUGAUGAGAUGUCCAAGGAUUCAAGAAUGACUUGUUAGGCCUGUUGUGAUAAAGAUUUGAGGAGUAAAAAAUGAACCAAGCUUCCAAAUGAUUGUCGGAUUCUCUGCGAAAAUCAUUGCUUGGAAUAUCUAUAGCAUCAAAAGUAGUAAGAAUUUUUACCAGUUCCGUCUCGAGCUAUUACAGAAUUGUGAUGGUAUUUGAAGAUUAUUUCGUGUCCCAUGGCCAUAUCUACUUGGGAACUAAGCUAGCACAGCCUAUUAUGAUUGCUGAAAUUGAUGCUUUGCAACCAUGAUUCUUUGCACAAUUUCAUCAAAACGCGUCACGGAUUUCAUCUGUGAAAUUAUGAGUGAAAAACCAAAAAGCUAAUUGCUCAAGAUUUGAAAGGUUAGUGUAUUUGAAAGGGAAAGUCAUGCUUAACAUUCAUUUCAUUUUGAAAAAUGGCUGUUUUAAUCACCAACGGUCAUGGCUCUGAUUAGUGUUGCAUUACAUUUUUUUAGUAGACAGAUAGCUUCCGUUUAAGCAAUAACUUCAGAAUUGUUAGAGGUCUAACAGCAAUACCAAGAAAUAGUCUUCUUAAGACUAAGUUUUGGGUAGCUCCGUAGUAAGAAAUGAUUUUCUUAGGACUUAAGUCUUAGGUUCCAACUUUAAUAAGUGUGUAAGUAAAGUAAAUUUUAUUGUUUUUUUGGGUUUGCUGACACAAUGGUUCUUGCACAAAAACGGAUUAACAAUAAUGGUGCUGCUGGCCGAUUUUCCAAGGACUUCAAUUUGCCAAUCCAACGGUUCUUCUCUAUCUUUUUGUGUGCUUCUUAUUCUUUUCUUUGCCUUUACUAUUGACAACAAAGUAUUCACAAAAUUCUACUGAAGUAUCUUUGGGAUCAAAAUUUCCUUAUAAUCUAAAUUUUUUUUGGCAAAAAUUUACGUGUGAUUGAUGUUAAUAAGUCAAUCACACCCCUACAUGGUAUUAAUAAAGGAGACAUGCCGUAAAAUAACUGAAAACUCAAGAGAGCUUAGAUCAUGAUAAAAUCUUUAUUGAGUUUUUAACCAAAAAAUAAGGUCUGUUUGAAUUAAAAAGAGUUUCAAAAUGCAUUUAUGGUAAAAGUUUGUAUAUUAUUAUAUAUGCAUGAUUAGAGUUUGGCUUUUUCUUUUUUUUAAUUUUCAAAAAGGUAUAGUGGGUAAAGCCCAAAUUGAUUUUGUUCUCAUCAUUCGAACUUGAGUGAUCAAUUAAAUAAAAUUACUUGAUAACCACUUGUCUAAGUCCUUGGAGAAACUUAAAGUUUAGAGUUGCAAUAAAUAACAAUAUUUUUGUACACUAAAGUGACUAAAACAGUAAUAUCUGUUAAGGUGAUAUAAAAUAUGAAUUUUGCUCAGAUGUAUAAUAAAAAUUGAAUCGCAUCGUACUACUUGAAAAUAUAAAUAUCAUAUAUUGAUAAAAAUGAAUUUUAAUCUGCACAAAAUAUAUCAAUAAAAUAUAUCAACAUCAGGUCUACACCCAUUCCUCGUUUGUGAGAUUAUUUCAACCCAUAGAGAGAGUAGAAAGUUGGCUAAAUUUUUGUAAGUAGAGGAGGUCUUGGUGUGUGUAGUUUGCAAAAUAGGUUUGUGAAAUUAAAGUUGAAUCACUGACCCAACUGGAUUCAACGUAGCCCGAGCAGCACAGAACAUGCCCAAAAAGAGAACGGGGCCUGGUAAUUGAGCUCAUUGGACUUCGUAAUUCAACUGAAAGAGUAUUGGUAUUUGGCCCUCUCAAAAUAUCUGGCUAGCUCCACUUUUCAGUUGAUCUUAUUAUUUUAAAGAAUUAUCUUUAUAAAGAAUAAAAAAUUGCUGUUCUUUAUUUUUUAUUCUCUCCCCGUCGUGUCAUGAGCCUUAUCAUUUCAUUAACAAGAAGCUCAUCAUCGUCACCACCAUCAUCUAUCUUCUUCACCAUUAAUUAAUCCAUUACCUCCAUCAACAUAUAAUGAGUUUCAAUAUUAAUUUUUGUUAAAUUUGAUGAACAAGUGAUGGAUUUUAUCAUUAUUAAUGAUAUUGGUUCUGAUUUUGCAUGACAGUUUUUUUUUUCAAAUUUCGAUUAGGUUUUGAUUAGGAAUUAAUAUCUAAUUUAAAUUGCGAAUCAGUUAAAAAAUGAGGAGAUAAGCAGUUAAUAUAUUGAGAGCUUAAGAAGGAAGAAAAUUAUUUAUUUUAAUUUAUUUUAUUUUUUAAUAAGGGUGAGUUUAGAAUAAAUAAUAUUUAUUAAAACAUGGGAGCUGGAGAUAUAAAUAAAGGGGCUAAUAUCACCACUCUAGCUGAAAUUUAAGUCUACUAGGAAGUUCAGCAAAACAUACUAACUUUUUGUCAAAAAGCAACUAAUGAAUCACAGUUGUAGAAAAAUAAUUGACGCAAUUUGUUUAAAAAAUAACAGACACAAGAAGGAAAAAAGUUACCUUGAUGGAGCAAAUAAUUUUAUCCUUAAAUCUUUAAACUUGUAAUUAUAGCCUUGCAGACACAUGAAAAUGCACAGGCAAAAAGCCAGUGAAUUUAGGCCCGAAAAUAAAGGUAAAUCGGGUGGAGUUUUAAUCAAAGCCCAAUCCAAUGAAACUAUUAGAAAAGGCCUCGCCUAAUGAUUGUUGCCGUGUAAUAAUAUUCGAUACAUGUAGAAUCAAGCAACAGAUAUGCGAGCUGGCAAAAACUUCCUCCUAUUAGAUAGGACAUAGAAAACUAUUUACAGUAUUCAUGCGAAAACUAAGGCAUUAGGCUUCAUGCCGUUAAUGUUACAGAAAUUAAAAAAAAAAAAAAAAACACACACGUAUCUCGUGCCGUAUGCUUUUCAUGAUAUCACUUAUCAUUUGAUAAUAUAUGUUUCUGAUGCAGUACAUGUGAACCCCAACCAUUUCUUUAGGGCUCACUUUAAAGGGUGUGGUGUGAUGUGGAAGAAUAGAGGUAUGAUCCAAGUUAAUUAUAUCUAGUAAAUUCAUCCAAGUUCAUUUAAUGAUUUACGAGUCCACACUCCACACAUGAUUUACUGGAUAAUAAAGCCGGCAAAAGGCUUAGGCUUUAGUAAUUUAUUAAAGGAAUUUAUUAGGCUUAGACUUUUGAAAUUUAUUAAAGGAAUUUAUUUAACAGAUUAUUUAUCGGUAGAUUUGGGAAUAUCGUAUUUAUCACUAUUAGUUUAUGUAUGUAUGUAUGUGUGUAUGUAUGUCAAAAUUAAGAAUUAUAUUAAGUGUCUGUUUGAUAUGACUUAGUGCCUGUUUGGUAUGGCUUAUUUAAGAGCCAUAAGUACUUAUUUAAUCGUAUAAGCACUUUUUAAAAAUUUUUAUGGUGUUUGGUUUUUUUUUAGUAGAAUUUUUUUAGCUUAAAUAAGCUAAUUUAUCUCUACUAGCAAAAGCCCAAAUUUUGAGCUUUUGGGAGUAGAGGUUAGAGAGCUUUUCUAAAAAUAUAUAAUAAAAAAAUAUCACACAGUUUAAUGGUUCAAAAGUGCUUUUUUUAUUGACAAUCAAACACCCAAUGACUUUUUGUCCAAAAGCUCUAUUGGUAUAAGCUCUACUGCUAUAAACUCCACUGUUAUAAGCUCUAUUUAAUAAGCUGUACCAAACGGAGCCUUAUUUAAGAGUCAUAAGUGCUUAUUUAAUCCUAUAAGCACUUUUUAAAAAUUUUUAUGGUGUUUGGUUAUUUUUUUAGUAGAGUUUUUUUAGCUUAAAUAAGCUAAUUUACCUCUACUAGUAAAAAUCUAAAAUUUGAGCUUUUGGAAGUAGAGGUUAGAGAGCUUUUCCAAAAAAUAUAUAAUAUCAAAAAUAUCCUUAACAUAUUUCAUUAAUUACAUAAUACCCUUUGUAUAAAACCUACCCAACGAAAAUUGUUGUCGUCAUAUAAACAUAUUAUUGCCGCCACUUCACUUUAUCUCUCUCUUUUUUAAAAAAAAAAAAAUAACCAGCACUUUAAUUUUGCAAUCCUUACACAUACCCAAAAUGAUGCAAUUUUUGUUUAGGAGAAUAUAUCAAUGAUGCAAUUUUUAAUUUUGAAAAUUAAAGAAAUGAUUGAACUGAUUUUUUAUUAUUAAUUGAUAACUUGGAUGCAUUUUGUUACAUAUUAUAUAAUAUGAAUACAUAUCAUUUUUGGUAAUUUAAUUACAUAAAAACACUUUUAGUUUUACACGACCAAACAGUUUAAUGGUUCAAAAGUACUUUUUUAAUUGACAACCAAACACCCAAUGACUUUUUGUCCAAAAGCUCUAUUAGUAUAAGCUCUACCCCCAUAAACUCUACUGUUAUAAGCUCUAUUUAAUAAGCUAUACCAAACGGAGCCUAAGAUUAUAAUAUAAGUAAUUGGAUUAGAUAAUUACCAUCUUUUACUAUCCAAAUAUAUGAAAUGGUAAUUAUCCAUCGACCACUUUUUUUGAGACUUUUUCAAAAAAACAGUUUUUUUUUUUUUGCUGAUUUCCACCUGAAGUUACAAAAUGUAUCAUGUUUUCACUGCCGUCUAAACUCCGUGAGAGAAGUUAACAGAAUAUUAACAAAAUGACUAUUUUAUCCCUUUAGUGUAAAAUUACUAUUUCACCCUAAUGAAAUGAAAAAAAAAAUAUUUCGAAUUUUCUUUACAAUUUAGGCAUUAGAUAAUAAGUUAAACAAAAUAAUCUGGAAUAUUUUUACCUUUUUUUUUCCUCUUUUUCUACCGCGUUUAAUUGAUGUUGAUUUUUGCUAUGCAAGUGAAAUGACAAUUUUACCCCUAUGACAUCAAUAAGGUUAUAAUAGAAUGCAAAUAGAAGUGGAAAAGUGUAAGAAAAUGUAACUUUUAGGGGAAAUCAACCAAAAAAAAAAGAUGUGUAUUUUUAAAAAAUCCGAAAAGAACAGGUGGUCAGUGGAUAAUUUUUCUUAAAAAUAUUCAAGAGACAACCACUUAAGUUAUGACUCUUUUUAGCUGCUCAUGCAAUCUCGACAACUUAAGAUAAUUAAGUAUAUUCAUUGAUAAAGCUCAACGAAAGUCUAAACAAACCAUGUGACUUUAGGUCAUAAAAGCACAGGCAACAUGCAUUACAGGGGAAGAAUUUGAUUCUAAGUAGAGAGAGCAAUAUACUAAGAGAAGAGAAAUAUAGUAAUUAGAGUAUCUGCUUAUUAUUAUUGAAGGUCCCUCAACUCGUGCGCCAUACAUUUUGAGUGUGGUCCCUUUUUAUAUGUUUUCCUAAUAUAUUUUUCUACAACUUUCCUUUUCGUGUAUCUUUUUAUAGGCAUUCUUAUCUAGAAUCAUGGAGAAAAUGUAAUACAUUUUUUUCUAGCCUCUUGUUACUUUAAAAAGAGAUAUUAUCAUUUUAUUAACAAAGUUUUACUGAUAUAUCAUAUCAAUACCAAGAUUUGUCGAAAAGUGCAUUUUACUAUCAAAGUUUUGCGCCGUUAUCAAUUCACUAUCAUUCCGUUAAGAAAAAGUUAAUAUUUAACAGAAAUUGAGUUAAAAGUCGAUUUUAUCUCCAAGAGUUUGGUAGUAAAAUGAUAAUUUAUAAUUCCCCUAAAAAUUCAGUAGUAAAAUGAUAAUUUUCCUAAAAAUUUGGUAGUAAAAUGAUAAUUUAUCUAUCAAAUUAACAGACAAUUUUACUAUUACAGCUGCAAAUGUCUUUAAUACCCUUAUGAUAUCAACAAAUUUUUAAUGUUGUUAACGAAAUGGUAGUGAAUUGAUAACGGCGUAAAAUUUUGGUAGUAAAAUAUACUUUUCGGUAAAUCUUGGUACUGAUAUGAUAUGUUAGUAAAACUUUGAUAGUAAAAUGAUAAUAUCCCCUUUAAAAAAGAUGUGGACUCAAUUUUUUAAAUCUAUUGGAGAGUAAAUAUCAAGAGUCACAGAAAUACUCGCACUAUACCUAAUGAGACAGCGAAAGUGAAAAAAAAAUGAUUGAGUAAAAUUUGUUAAUUUGAAAGAGAAUUUUGUAGAACAGUGAAGGUCGGAACUGAUAAAGAUGUAGGUUAUUUGACAAGGUGAAAAAAAAAAUGCAAAAUGAUAGGUGAGAUUUGAGAGAAAAAUGAAAUUACUUUGUUAUAAACUUGAUCGUGUUAAGAAAAAUAAAUAAAAGAUAAUUGUGGGUCUGUUACCCCACCCGCCUCAACCCUGUAUCUGCACUUGCCGACAGAAGCAACGACACGAUCUCCCAAGAUCAUGCUUGCAGAUUCUCAUUUGCGGCACGUUUAUAACAUGGGAGGGCCUAAGUUACGUGCACGUAACUUACGUCCCCCUCUCAGUUACAGAACCCGACCUAAAUUACGUGCACGUAACUUAGCGUCACCCUUAUAACAUUUGUUAUGUAAUGUAAAGCAUUUUUGCUUUCCUGGUCAGUCACCAUCCUGUCUCGUGGCAUCGUUUCGUAGGAGCUUGCAAAUUCUUUUAAAAUUUUAAAAAUGUAAAAUUACUUUGUGAAAUAGGGGCUGAUGUGGCUUAUUCUGACCCUUAAUUCGCAGACGAGUUUGUGUUGCAAAUUAGUGGGGUAAUGCUCUGUUACAUACAUCAAUAUAAGAAUAUUUCUACUAAUAGAUUUAAGUAUGGCUUAGUUUUGAAAUUGUUUUAAAUUGGUAGGUGUACUUUUUAUGUGUGAAGUAUGUAACAUAUAAUGCAAGAUAGUCUUAAGCCAAAUUAGUGAUUCAACACUGUGUGAUCAACUAGAUAUAGAUUCUUCGGGCUGUUCGGUCCUCUUUUACGAUAUUUGUUUUUCAAUGUCAUAUACUUUCAGUGGACAUUUUUCAAAACCAUGUAUUGUGAAAUACAAAAGCAGGGCUCACUUUAUAGUAAUAAAUUACAAAGCCUAUGACUAUGUUGAAGCAAAUUUAUGAUGGAGAAUGAAUCUCAUCCAUAUUAAUAAAGCGAUAAAUAAUAAAAAUUUUAUUAUAAUUUUAAUUGUGUAAUUAUAAAUAAAUAAUUCACUUUAAAACAUCUCCAACGUAGCCGAAUCCAAUUUAAAAAACAAGUUUAGCAUGUUUUGGUUAUUAUACAAAAUAAAUUAUAAAAUAAUUUCUGAAACAAAUUCCAGACAUUUCUCAACAUGUAAUAACUGUACUUUUAUCUACUUUUUUCUUGGUCCCACCGGCUUUUUCUUUGCCAUUAUUCAUCUUUCGUCCUCAUAUCUCAUGCUCUUAACCAACUUUUCGGAUUUUCUUUUCUAAUUUUUCAUUCUUUUUUUAAUAUUAUCUUUUAGGUUCAUCUGACACUCUCUCAUAAAGAGAAUCAAGCCUCAAUUCCAAGUUAAAUUUUCUCAUCACUCCCUCUUUUUUCUGUUUUGCGUGUAUUAUUUCUAUGUUUUUUUAAACUCUCUCUGUAUUUCUUUUCAAUCCUUAAAAGUCUUAAUGGGAAAUAUAUGAAUGCAAGAGGAAUUCACAAGAUCUAAAUGAACUGAAUGAUAUGUUUCUUAAUAGAGAUAUUAUCAAAUAUUCACUAAAUUUUUUUUUACAUAUCGAUUUAUCUUUAAUAUUUUUUUGAUAAAUAUAUUUUACCGUCUAAUAUUUUUGUUAUUAUCAUUUCACUAAAAUUUUAACAAUGUUAAAAAUUUAUUGAAAUCACAUUAGUAUUUAAGAAAUUUUAAAAUGACAUUAUUUUCCCAUUGUUAUAGUUCUUUUUCAAAUUUUGAUUUUCUUUUCUAAACAUCCGAUUUAGGGUCUUUUUUUAUUUUCCUUAUUUUAGUUAGUAAAAUUUUAUUAUAUUGAAAUAUUCCCAUAAUAGAAUUUUAAGUUUUCUAAGAAAGUGAUAGUAAUUAAUUUUUUUUUUUGCAUCCGUAAACAAACUAAUUUAUGAUUUUUUUUUCACUUGUACAAACAAAUUUCACCAUAUUAGCCCAAUUAUAAUUAAAUCAAUUAAAUAUAGUAAUAUAAAUUAUAUGAAUUAUUUUGGGGGUUUAAUUAUAAUUGAGCUUAACAUGACAAAAUUUAUUUGUACUAGUGAAAAUAAUAUCAUGAACUAUUUUGUUUAUAGAUACAUAAAACUUUUCAAUUACCGUUAGUCUAUUAAAAAAAUCUAAAAUUCUAUUUUGGAAUACUUUAAUAUAAUAAAAUUCUAAUAACUGAAAUAAAAAAAAACAAAAAAUAGCUCAUAAAUCAGAUGUGUAGGGAAAAAGAUAAAAGUUUGUAAAAGAAUUAAGAAAAUAAAAAAAUAACUUCAGCUUGAAAUUUCUCAAGUACUUUUGUAAUCUCAGCAAAUGUUAAGAUUUUAGUGGUAAAAUUAUAACAGUCAAAACAUUUGGUUACAAGAUAUAAUUGUCAAAAAACUUUUAUGGUGAAUUGAUAAAUCAUAAAAUUUUUAGUGAGUAUUUAGUAAUAUCCCUUAUUAAUAAGUACAGCUCUUUAAUUAGUAUUCUCCUAUUAAAAGCAGUUUCAUUUUUUUUAUUCAAACAAAUAUUAUUAUAUAUGAUAGGACUUCACUGUGGCUUGUGGUGUGAUUAUACAUGUAAUACAUGAAUAGAUAAUUAUUUUUUUCAAAACAUGCAUGCGUUCUAAUUUUUUUUGUAAUUAUUUCAAAGUUUAAUUUUUAAUUAAGGAGUUCAAACCAAUUAAUCUUAUAUUAAUUUUGUUAUAUUAACAUUUUAACUACAAUUAUAGUUUUAUUGUUUAGUAAAAAUUAUUUAUGAAAAUAGUGCUAUCAAAUAUAUAUCUAUUAUAUGUUAAAAAAAACGUAAUCAUUAUUAUACAAAUUCAAAUCUUGAGUGAAUUAUAAUAGUUUAUUAAUUUUUUAUGGUCAAGUGAAUUGUAUAUAAAUCGAUCAUUAUAUUUAUUAUGAAUCUAUUAGACUUUAAACAUAACAGAUAUAGUCAUUUCUUAUAAAAUUUUGUUCAACCUUACGUGAAAAAGCAUUUAUCAUCAUAAAUUUAAUAAAGAAAAGACAAAGCUAAAAUAAAAAAUAUUUUUUUUAAAUUUCAUAGAACUGGCUAAAAAUUUCUAAGGUACUACUCACUUGUGUAAAUAGCAGUAGACGAAAAAUUAAAUUGGUUAAAUGUAUUGGCCAUUUCAGUAAAUCUAUGAAUGCAAAUUUUUUUUUUGUUUUUUUUUUUCAUGUAAGUAGUGAAAAUGGAUUAAAAAUAUGGCAAACACUAACUUACAGCUGCUGUAAAGCACACACAAAAUGACAAAAUUAUGCGUGAACAGUAAUAAAUGAUGGGUCCCGCAUAAUUUGUGUGUGCUGUAACUUACAGCCGGCUGUAAGUUAGCAGCUCCCUAAAAAUAUUUUAUCACAUGGUUCACACGUCUGACCAUUUUGGUGCGCUGUGCAAGCUCGUCACUCUAUAAAGCUACCGGCACAGCAGCUCUUUUACCCAUCUAUCCUCAACUACGUUUGCUUUCCACCAAGUAUUUUUCCCAAAAUGCCCUCGUCUCCCACCACGCGGAAGCCGCGGAACUGCCUAUGGAUUCCGAUUCUCCUGUGCCUAUUCAACGAACUUUCUUUCGCUGAAGCCGAGUCAUCGACGAUUCUUCUACCGAGUCAACAGCACAAUGCUGACUCAGUGAGUACUACCUUCUCUGCUCAUUGUCCUGCUCCCGAUCCGAGUUUGAAUUACCGGCCGGUAAUCGGUAUUCUAAGUCAUCCGGGCGACGGCGCUUCGGGGAGGCUGAGUAACGCCACCAACGCGUCUUAUAUCGCCGCGUCGUACGUGAAGUUCGUUGAAUCAGGAGGCGCUCGUGUCAUCCCUCUCAUUUUCAAUGAACCUGAAGAGAUUCUUUUUGAGGUAAAUGAAAAAAUAAUUAUAUAAUUUAAUGUUUUGUCUUCUUAAAUUUGUUAUUAAUUGUCGUUAAUUAGUUGAGUUAAUCUGUUGCGUUAUGUUGUAUUGUGUUGCGUGUUGCGUGUUGCGUGUUGCGUGUUGCGUGUUGCAGAAGCUUGAAUUGGUGAACGGUAUACUGUAUACUGGCGGUUGGGCUAAGAGCGGGUUGUACUACGAUAUUGUUGAAAAAAUUUUCAAGGUAAAUUAUAUUAAAUGUUGUUAUAUUUAUUAGAGAGUAAUGCAUGAUUUAUGUGGCAGAAGCAUGAAUGUGUACAUUUUUUCAAGUGUGCAGAAGCAUGCGUGUUAGCAUUUUUGUGUCAAGCACGUUAAUGGUGUAUUUUCUUAUGUGUCUUGAAAUUUCGUACUUAGUACAAGCUUCUUAUUUUCUCCGAUUUUGCAGAAAAUAUUAGAGAAGAAUGAUGCGGGCGAUCAUUUUCCAGUAUAUGCCAUUUGCUUAGGCUUUGAACUUUUAUCAAUGAUCGUUAGCGAGGUAAUUUCUCACCCUUAACCCGUUUUGAUUUUCUGGUUGGUUGGCAUAGCUUUCCAAUUUUGUGUCUGAUUAACUUGUGCUCAUUUUAGCCUUGAAACAUGUUUUGUUCGUCCCUUGAUUAAUAUCCUGCUGUUCAAUUUCAAUUUGGAUUUUGUAUGCAUAUUAGUGUGUGUGCUUCUUAUGGCUUUACUGUAUGCUUUUAGUUUGUCUCUUGCGUUAGAAAAAUGUCUUUUACUGCUUACAACUAUUAUAAUAUGAUGGUACUCUUUCCGGCAAUGCUGAUUGCUUUUGCCGUUCAUUAUUUUUAUUUUUACUUUUUUCUCUUCCUCAACAAUAGGACAGAAACAUUCUGGAAACAUUUGAUGGAGCAAAUCAGGCAUCUACCCUCCAAUUUGUCAAAAACAUUAAUAUUGAAGGAACAUUGUUCCAAAGGUACAUAGUUUUCAUUGGUCUUUAAUUGAUUUUAAUGUUGUUACAAUUAAUGAUGCUAGGAGCCUCUUCACAUCUAACUUUCUCAGCAUGCUUACCAUUUUUUGAUUUUCAAACACUUUGACUCAAUAUUGAUAAUGAACCCGUACACAAGAUUCAAAAGUUUCUGGACAGUCUUGUCAUGAGUAGGAAAAAGAUUCCAAGCUGUCUUUAACAUUUUUUGCAGCUUAAUCCAGAUUGUUUUAUUUUCUUCUGGUAAUAAGCUUCCAGAAUGACAUGAUUUCGCAACGUGAUAGUCGUGCGCAUUUUGCAGAUUUCCCCCGGAGCUGCUUAAGAAGUUGAGUACGGAUUGCCUGGUUAUGCAAAACCACCAUGUAAGAAAAUUGUGCUUCAUGUAUGGUUAACUUGCUUUUCAUUUGUGUACCUAGAUUCAAUUUCUUAAAAAUAUGUUAAACUUUAUGUUCUAAAACAACCAUCUUUUUAUUGUUAGAUUCAAUUCUCAGUUUUAAUUUCCCUCAUCUUCUGUAAUAAUGCUAGUCACUCAUGAAUAUCUAGCUCAAUGGAAGUGUUGGGUCUAAUAAGCGGGCUUUUUUGGUAAUCCUGCUUUGUCGUGAGCCUCUUUGAUUCAUGGAAGAAUUCCAUUGAUAUGGACUUCUUGUACAAUUGAUUCCUUAGAUCAGUGCACUUCAAUUUUGGGAGACAAUGGACUCUAAAAAUGUUUAGAUUUAUUAAAUUAUUACGGAUGAUUGAGUAAAUAAUUUGGUUGAUCUGAAAUUUUAUGUGUUGUACCAUUACAACAGUAUGGCAUUUCACCUGAAAGAAUGCAAGCAAACCAGGAGCUAGCUAAGUUUUUUAAGAUCUUGACAACAAGCAUGGAUGAAUAUAAUAAGGUGCAAAAGUAAAUAUUCCUUUGUUGAAUUNNNNNNNNNNNNNNNNNNNNNNNNNNNNNNNNNNNNNNNNNNNNNNNNNNNNNNNNNNNNNNNNNNNNNNNNNNNNNNNNNNNNNNNNNNNNNNNNNNNNNNNNNNNNNNNNNNNNNNNNNNNNNNNNNNNNNNNNNNNNNNNNNNNNNNNNNNNNNNNNNNNNNCACUAUUAACUUCAAUGCUCUUAACAGUGAUUUUAGCUGCACCUCAUUUACAAAAUCGAUAAGCUUAAUAUGGCAGACUGAUCUGGUUAAUCAAACCUUUUGAGCAACAUUUGUGUGCUAAACUCUAGAUGUUUGUGAUGUUGUGGACAAGCUGUCUGGCAACACUAUUUACUUCUCUCAAGAUUAUUUGAUUUCAGGCCAAGCUACAAUUUUUUAUUUGGUAUUCAUGUCAUGUGUUACAUCUUUCUGGUCCAGCUCUGUUUCUGUGUGGUUCUAUGAGAAAAUAUUUUUUUGUAUUCAUCCUGUUUCUCCAAGUCAG
rnacentral:lncRNA from 1 species